rnacentral:rRNA from 1 species
GACGAACGCUGGCGGCGUGCUUAACACAUGCAAGUCGAACGGAAAGGCCCUGCUUUUGUGGGGUGCUCGAGUGGCGAACGGGUGAGUAACACGUGAGUAACCUGCCCUUGACUUUGGGAUAACUUCAGGAAACUGGGGCUAAUACCGGAUAGGAGCUCCUGCUGCAUGGUGGGGGUUGGAAAGUUUCGGCGGUUGGGGAUGGACUCGCGGCUUAUCAGCUUGUUGGUGGGGUAGUGGCUUACCAAGGCUUUGACGGGUAGCCGGCCUGAGAGGGUGAGCAGCCGCAUUGGGGAUGAGUAACGGCCCAGACGCAUACUGGUGGCAGCAGAGGGGGAUAUUGCACAAUGGGCGGGGGGCUGAUGCAGCAACGACGCGUGCGGGAAGACGGCAUUCGGGUUGUAAACCGCUUUCGCCUGUGACGAAGCGUGAGUGACGGUAAUGGGUAAAGAAGCAGCGGCUAACUACGG